rnacentral:lncRNA from 1 species
UAAUGUCAUGUAAUUUUUCAGAUGCUUGCAUGCAUCUUAUUUGAUAUUUUGAUAGGCCUGCGUGCCUCCUAAAAGAAGAUGUAAUUUAUUAUUAUUUUUAUUUUACAUCUGGUUGUAUUUCUGUGAUAUGAUGUACGUCAACGAUCAAGUUGAAGACAAGGCAUGAGAUGAACAGGGGUCUAAGCGGUUGAUGGCGAUUGGAUCAAGAGUUGGUCAAGGAUCGAAUCAAAGAGGCUUAGAACCAAUUCAAGAGUUGAAGACCAAUUGAUCGAUUGACGUGCAUGUGCUUGUAAUACGACCUAAUUAGAAUCCAUGAUCAUCACCUAUUUAAAGUUU